UGAUAGCGUAGAAACGUGAGGUUGCUAUAUAAGAAUUCGAUGAAUCGUAUUCUUGCAUAUAGGUUUUUCCGUGGAGCGAAUGUCAAGUUAUGAAACUGGCGACAA
rnacentral:ncRNA from 1 species